rnacentral:sRNA from 1 species
UCAGACUGAGUAUUUGUUAAAAGAAACUGGCAUGGUGAAUCCCCCUGUGCGGAGGGGCAUAUCAGCGACAGGUGGUUGGUUAUAUCCCUUAUCUGGUGCGGGUUCAGGUGCUGAUACUGAACUCACCGGGAGGCACCCGGCAUCAUGCUGUAUACAGAGAUUAGGCAUAUAUCCAGGCUCCUCAUCGCAGGAGCCUUUUUACAUGC